GCCAGGUAUGGUGGUGCAUGCCUGUAGUCCUAGCUACUCAGGGGGCUGAGGUGGGAGGAUCACUUGAACCUGGGAGGCUGAGGUUGCAGUGAGCCAUAAUGGCACUACUGCACUCCAGCCUAGGCGAUAGAGUGAGACUCCAUCUCAA
rnacentral:SRP_RNA from 1 species